AUGGCCUCUAUCAUUACAAACACUACUAUUAUACAUGAUGACUGCCCAGAUAUUCUUUGUUGGGAUCUCACUCCAAAUGGUAAAUGUAAUUCCAAAUCUACUUACAAGUUGUGUUUGCAGGAUAUUCAGAGACAACCAAGGGAUCUUCCUAUGCAGGUUAAAGAUAUCCUUAAGCAGGUUUGGAAGAACAAGCAGAUGACCCCACGAGUCCAAACUUUUGCUUGGAGAUUGCUUCGAAAAUCUCUACCCACAGGUUUGAGAGCUAGUUAUUUUUUUCUAUUCACAUUUCAAAACGAUGUUGACAUUGUCAUCGAGAUGAAAGUGAGAUGCAUCUAUGUUUUCUUUGUGACUUUGCUAGGGCAGCUUGGUUUGGCCAUCCUUGGUAUAUUAAAAUGGAUAUAUAUAUAUAUAUAUAUAUAUAUAUAUAUAUAUAUAUAUAUUAGUCUAGAAUCAUAUUUCCAUGCAAAGUAUUAUUCAUGCAUUGCUUAA
rnacentral:rRNA from 1 species